rnacentral:rRNA from 1 species
UACAGAGGUCUCAAGCGUUGUUCGGAAUCACUGGGCGUAAAGGGUGCGUAGGCCGCACGGUAAGUCAGAGGUGAAAUCCCGGAGCUCAACUUCGGAAUUGCCUCCGAUACUGCCGUGCUUGAGGACUGGAGAGGAGUCUGGAAUUCACAGUGGAGCAGUGAAAUGCGUAGAUAUUGUGAGGAACACUAGUGGCGAAGGCGGCGCACUGGACCACAUCUGACGCUGAGGCGCGAAAGCUAGGGGAGCAAACAGG